rnacentral:rRNA from 1 species
UACGGAGGGUGCAAGCGUUAUCCGGAUUCACUGGGUUUAAAGGGUGCGUAGGCGGGUUGGUAAGUCCGUGGUGAAAUCUCCGAGCUUAACUCGGAAACUGCCGUGGAUACUAUCAAUCUUGAAUAUCGUGGAGGUGAGCGGAAUAUGUCAUGUAGCGGUGAAAUGCUUAGAUAUGACAUAGAACACCAAUUGCGUAGGCAGCUUACUACACGAUCAUUAACGCUGAGGCACGAAAGCGUGGGGAGCAAACAGG